rnacentral:rRNA from 1 species
GACGAACGCUGGCGGCGUGCCUAAUACAUGCAAGUCGAGCGAAGUUUUUCUGGUGCUUGCACUAGAAAAACUUAGCGGCGAACGGGUGAGUAACACGUAAAGAACCUGCCUCAUAGACUGGGACAACUAUUGGAAACGAUAGCUAAUACCGGAUAACAGUAUUUCUCGCAUGGGAGAUAUUUAAAAGUUGGUUAUGCUAACACUAUGAGAUGGCUUUGCGGUGCAUUAGCUAGUUGGUGGGGUAAAGGCCCACCAAGGCGACGAUGCAUAGCCGACCUGGGAGGGUGAUCGGCCACACUGGGACUGAGACACGGCCCAGACUCCUACGGGAGGCAGCAGUAGGGAAUCUUCCGCAAUGGGCGAAAGCCUGACGGAGCAACGCCGCGUGAGUGAAGAAGGAUUUCGGUUCGUAAAGCUCUGUUGUUAGGGAAGAAUGGAUAUGUAGUAACUAUACAUGUAAGAGACGGUACCUAACCAGAAAGCCACGGCUAACUACGUG